AUCAUGUUGAAACACUGGUUCCUAUACGAUCAGUGAAGUUAAGCAACAUUGAGCUUGGUCAGUGCUUAGAUGGUGACUGCUUAGGAAUACCAGGUGCUGUAAG